CGCGCGUCCCGGCGCGCCGGGCUCCUGGGGCCUCACCACCUCGCGCGCCCAGGGCGCACCACCGGC
rnacentral:precursor_RNA from 1 species